rnacentral:tRNA from 1 species
GGAGGGGUGGCAGAGCGGCCGAUUGCAUCGGUCUUGAAAACCGACAACGUCGCAAGACGUUCGCGGGUUCGAAUCCCGCCCCCUCCG